UACGUAGGGUGCAAGCGUUAUCCGGAAUCACUGGGUUUAAAGGGUAUGUAGGCGGCUUACUAAGUCUGUAGUGAAAGUCUGCGGCUUAACUGUAGAAUUGCUAUGGAUACUGGUAGGCUUGAGUGUUGGAGAGGAAGCUGGAAUUCGUGGUGUAGCGGUGAAAUGCAUAGAUACCACGAGGAACGCCCAUUGCGAAGGCAGGCUUCUGGCUGACAACUGACGCUGAGGUACGAAAGUGUGGGGAGCGAACAGG
rnacentral:rRNA from 1 species